rnacentral:rRNA from 1 species
AGAGUUUGAUCAUGGCUCAGGAUGAACGCUGGCGGUCUGCUUAACACAUGCAAGUCGAACGGGCUUUUCGGAGCUAGUGGCGGACGGGUGAGUAACGCGUGAGAAUCUACCACUGGGAUGGGGACAACAGUUGGAAACGACUGCUAAUACCCAAUAAGCCGCAAGGUCAAAGAUUAAUUGCCCAAUGAAGAGCUCGCGUCUGAUUAGCUAGUUGGUGUGAUAAAAGCGCACCAAGGCGACGAUCAGUAGCUGGUCUGAGAGGAUGAGCAGCCACACUGGGACUGAGACACGGCCCAGACUCCUACGGGAGGCAGCAGUGGGGAAUUUUCCGCAAUGGGCGCAAGCCUGACGGAGCAAGACCGCGUGCGGGAUGAAGGUCUAUUGAUUGUAAACCGCUUUUGUGAGGGAAGAAGCUCUGACGGUACCUCACGAAUCAGCAUCGGCUAACUCCGUGCCAGCCGCCGCGGUAAUUC